UGGCAAGUCGUGCGAGAAAGUCCCCUUCGGGGGGCGAGUAAAGCGGCGAAAGGGUGAGUAACACGUGGGCAACCUGCCCUCGGGAUCGGGAUAACGUGCCGAAAGGUGCGCUAAUACCGGAUAAGACCACGCGGACGAUGUCCGAGCGGUAAAAGAUGGCCUCUCGACGAAGCUAUUACCUGGGGAUGGGCCCGCGGCCUAUUAGCUAGUUGGUAGGGUAACGGCCUACCAAGGCUCUGAUGGGUAGCCGGCCUGAGAGGGUGUACGGCCACACUGGAACUGAGACACGGUCCAGACUCCUACGGGAGGCAGCAGUGGGGGAAUUUUGCGCAAUGGGGGAAACCCUGACGCAGCAACGCCGCGUGAGUGAUGAAGGCCUUCGGGUCGUAAAGCUCUUUUGGAGGGAAAGAAAUGUGUCGUGGCUAAUAUCCACGGCAUUUGACGGUACCCUCAGAAAAAGUUCCGGCUAACUCCGUGCCAGCAGCCGCGGUAA
rnacentral:rRNA from 1 species